rnacentral:rRNA from 1 species
UACGUAGGGGGGCUAGCGUUGUCCGGAAUCAUUGGGCGUAAAGCGCGUGUAGGCGGUCCGGUAAGUCCGCUGUGAAAGUCGAGGGCUCAACCCUCGAAUGCCGGUGGAUACUGUCGGGCUUGAGUACGGGAGAGGCGAGUGGAAUUCCUGGUGUAGCGGUGAAAUGCGCAGAUAUCAGGAGGAACACCGAUUGCGAAGGCAGCUCGCUGGAACGUUACUGACGCUGAGACGCGAAAAGCGUGGGGGAGCAAACAGG